rfam:Planctomycetes bacterium RIFCSPHIGHO2_12_39_6 rifcsphigho2_12_sub10_scaffold_1305, whole genome shotgun sequence.
GCGCCAGUAGCUCAGUUGGAUAGAGUAUCGGAUUUCUAAUCCGGUGGUCGAGGGUUCAAAUCCUUCCUGGCGCG